rnacentral:rRNA from 1 species
UACGAAGGGGGCUAGCGUUGUUCGGAAUUACUGGGCGUAAAGCGCGCGUAGGCGGAUGAUUAAGUCAGGGGUGAAAUCCCGGGGCUCAACCUCGGAACUGCCUUUGAUACUGGUCAUCUGGAGUCCGGAAGAGGUUGGUGGAAUUCCGAGUGUAGAGGUGAAAUUCGUAGAUAUUCGGAGGAACACCAGAGGCGAAGGCGGCCAACUGGUCCGGUACUGACGCUGAGGCGCGAAAGCGUGGGGAGCAAACAGG